rnacentral:rRNA from 1 species
GACGAACGCUGGCGGCGUGCUUAACACAUGCAAGUCGAACGGAAAGGCUCCAGCUUGCUGGAGUACUCGAGUGGCGAACGGGUGAGUAACACGUGGGUGAUCUGCCCUGCACUUCGGGAUAAGCCUGGGAAACUGGGUCUAAUACCGGAUAGGACCGCACUUUGGUGUGUGUGGUGGAAAGGUUUUUCUGGUGUGGGAUGAGCUCGCGGCCUAUCAGUUUGUUGGUGGGGUAAUGGCCUACCAAGACGGCGACGGGUAGCCGGCCUGAGAGGGUGGACGGUCACAUUGGGACUGAGAUACGGCCCAGACUCCUACGGGAGGCAGCAGUGGGGAAUAUUGCACAAUGGGGGAAACCCUGAUGCAGCGACGCCGCGUGGGGGAUGAAGGCCUUCGGGUUGUAAACUCCUUUCGCUAGGGACGAAGCUUUUUGUGACUGUACCUGGAGAAGAAGCACCGGCUAACUACGUG